ACGGCCACAUCACAUUGAAACACCGGUUCCGGUACGAUUAUCGAAGUUAAGCAACGUCGAGCCUGGUUAGUAAUGGAUGGCCGCCUGGGAAUAUCAGGUGCUGUG